AUUAGCUGGAGAGUUUGAUCCUGGCUCAGGACGAACGCUGGCGGCGUGCCUAACACAUGCAAGUCGAGCGGGCCUGUCAAGGCGUUAUGUUUUGGCAGGUUUAGCGGCGGACGGGUGAGUAACGCGUGAGCAACCUACCCUUGAGACAGGGAUAACCCUGGGAAACCGGGGCUAAUACCUGAUAUACUCUAUUAGGGCAUCCUGAUGGAGGAAAGGGCGGGAAGCCGCUCAAGGAUGGGCUCGCGUCCCAUCAGCUAGUUGGUGAGGUAACGGCUCACCAAGGCGACGACGGGUAGCCGGCCUGAGAGGGUGGUCGGCCACACUGGGACUGAGACA
rnacentral:rRNA from 1 species